GCCCAGCUAGCUCAGUCGUAGAGCAUGCAACUCUUUGAUCUCAGGGUUGUGGGUUCAAGCCCCAUGUUGGGUG
rnacentral:tRNA from 1 species